GUGCCAGCAGCGGCGGUAAUACGUAGGUGGCGAGCGUUGUCCGGAAUUACUGGGCGUAAAGGGUGUGCAGGCGGAUAUUUAAGUGAGAUGUGAAAGACCCGGGCUUAACCCGGGCAGUGCAUUUCAAACUGAAUAUCUAGAGUGCAGGAGAGGAGAACGGAAUUCCUAGUGUAGCGGUGAAAUGCGUAGAGAUUAGGAAGAACACCAGUGGCGAAGGCGGUUCUCUGGACUGUAACUGACGCUGAGGCACGAAAGCGUGGGUAGCAAACAGGAUUAGAUACCCUGGUAGUCCACGCCGUAACGAUGAGUACUAGGUGUAGGGGUAUCGACCCCCCUGUCGCUGCAGUAAACACAA
rnacentral:rRNA from 1 species